CUCCACACGCGCCCUCUUGUGGCUGCUCAGUGCUCCCAGCUCGCAGGUUCUGCUCUGCUUGCUUCUAGUAUUCCCUCUGCCCUCCGGGGUUUCCACUCAGCACGAGAAGCUGCUGAGUCCCUCUAAAGGCUCUGAAGGCAGUUAAAAAGGGAGGUGGUUUGCGUCAGGAUUGGAAUCUUCUGGACAAGGGAACUGAGAUGAGGCUUUUAGGGAGUUGCCGUCAGCCGUGAAUACAUCCGGACGUGAGGCCGCCAUGACAUGAGCAGCAUUCCUUCACCAUACCUGUAAGCUGUGAAGUUUAUGCCUUGGACACAACCAACCUGAGGAUGAAAACUCUGAAACCAUGAGCCUCAAGCCUUUCAUUCUUUAUGUUGUCUAUGCCAAGUAUUUUGUUGCAACAACAGAAAGGUGACUAAUGUAUGCAACAUUAUAUUGUACUGCAGCCUUCCAAACUUGGCAGCUGUGGCUAGUAGAAACAGCCUUUGUAACCUUUGUUCUUUUGUGUGUGUGUAGCUCCCUAAUACUCUCUCUUUAAAAGAAAUACAAAACAAAGUAUGGGUAUGAUAACAUUU